GAUGAACGCUGGCGGCGUGCCUAAUACAUGCAAGUCGAGCGAACAGACGAGGAGCUUGCUCCUCUGACGUUAGCGGCGGACGGGUGAGUAACACGUGGAUAACCUACCUAUAAGACUGGGAUAACUUCGGGAAACCGGAGCUAAUACCGGAUAAUAUAUUGAACCGCAUGGUUCAAUAGUGAAAGACGGUUUUGCUGUCACUUAUAGAUGGAUCCGCGCCGCAUUAGCUAGUUGGUAAGGUAACGGCUUACCAAGGCAACGAUGCGUAGCCGACCUGAGAGGGUGAUCGGCCACACUGGAACUGAGACACGGUCCAGACUCCGACGGGAGGCAGCAGUAGGGAAUCUUCCGCAAUGGGCGAAAGCCUGACGGAGCAACGCCGCGUGAGUGAUGAAGGUCUUCGGAUCGUAAAACUCUGUUAUUAGGGAAGAACAAAUGUGUAAGUAACUAUGCACGUCUUGACGGUACCUAAGCAGAAAGCCACGGCUAACUACGG
rnacentral:rRNA from 1 species